GUAGGGAAUAUUGGUCAAUGGACGAAAGUCUGAACCAGCCAUUCCGCGUGCAGGAAGAAGAUUCUAUGGAUUGUAAACUGCUUUUAGCAGAGAAGAAACGCCUUCAUUGAUGAGGGUUUGACGGUAUCUGCGGAAUAAGCACCGGCUAACUCCGUGCCAGCAGCCGCGGUAAUACGGGGGGUGCAAGCGUUAUCAGGAAUCACUGGGUUUAAAGGGUGCGUAGGCGGGAAAUUAAGUCAGUGGUGAAAGUCUGUUGCUUAACGAUAGAAUUGCCGUGGAUACUGAUUUUCUUGAAUUGGGUUGAGGUUAGAGGAAUGUGACAUGUAGCGGUGAAAUGGAUAGAUAUGUCAUGGAACACCAAUUGCGAAGGCAGCUAGCUGGGCCUUGAUUGACGCUGAGGCACGAAAGCGUGGGUAGCGAACAGGAUUAGAUACCCUAGUAGUCC
rnacentral:rRNA from 1 species